rnacentral:sRNA from 1 species
GGAAGCGGUCCGAGAAUGAAGAGUGUGAUCUACCAUGCAUUGUCUCAGAAAGAGGCAAACGACUCCGAUGUCCAGCCUUCAGGAGCACAGCGGGCCGAGGCCUUCGUGAGGGCCUUCCUGAAGCGCAGCACGCCCCGCAUGAGCCCACAGGCCCGCGAGGACCAGCUGCAGCGCAAGGCGGUGGUCCUGGAGUACUUCACCCGCCACAAGCGCAAGGAGAAGAAGAAGAAAGCCAAAGGCCUCUCUGCCAGGCAAAGGAGGGAGCUGCGACUCUUUGACAUUAAACCAGAGCAGCAGAGGUAACCCGAGCUCCCCACGUCUUUCUGCCCGCGGUGCUUACCCUUCUUGGUGUGCGAACUUGGCUGAGUGUCUGGGGAGGCAGCCGGGCUCCACCUAAGCUAAGGGCGCCUCUCUGUUGUCUGCCACAAGAGGGCUGCCUUCCUUUACCAAUCUGGGCUGUGUUCAGCCAGGCGGGUGAGACAGGACUCAUUGUCUGGCCUCUCUCCUCACCUUCACGAGUAACACCCGUGCAAGUACAUCUGUUGCCUGUGGCAACAGGCUGUUUGUCCUUCGGCUUUGUUAGACAGAGGAACUGAUAUGUUUUUAGUGUGUAUCACUUUAUAGCUUUUAAUAGAGCCAGACAGUCACCCACUCGGGUUUCAUUGCCAAAGCAAGAUGUUGCCCACACGUUUCAGAAGUUUCCAAAAGGAAUGCAUCACUGUCCUGUCCUGUGGGAGGAUGUCUUCCUCCAGCCGACCCUCCAUCCCCCCUUGGUGACAGGUCG